GCAGCCCCAGUCCCGGGAGUCCCAGGUGUUCCCAUUCUAGAUCAGGACAUAACAGACACCUCACCAUGGAGUUUGUGUUUGGCUGGGUGUUCCUGGUUAAUCUUUUAAGAGGUGUCCAGUGUGACGUGCAGCUGGUGGAGCCUGGAGGAGACCUGGU